CAGGUGAGAGCUUUCUGAGAAUGGAGGAGAACUGGAUGGUGCAGCAGAGAGUUGCCAGAGGGGAAAAGCUGCAGCAAAGUUGAAGCUUUGCAUCCUGCCUAGGAAACAGAGCAUCAGCCUUUUGGCUCCACAGUGGCCUGACACAUGAGGCCAAGUAAGAUCUGCCACCUGGAACAGCACUUUUACCUUCUCUGGGCCUGCAGGAGGGGCCAUUGGUGCACACACGUGCUCCAAGCCAGGCAUAGCUCAUCCUGAAACAAGGUGGAUCCCACAGCCAGGUGCCACCCUGUAAUGGAUCAGUGCAGAUGGAUCGACCACUGAACUGGGUACCUGUGGCAUCAAAGAUGGGGUAUUGCAGAUUCAAGCUGUGUGGAUGGGUCAGAGGGACUGAGGCAGAGGAGCUGGCCGGAGGCGUGCUGUGCUCCCAGGGCAUGAGGAAGGGGACUGUGGAGCAGGAUCACACACAAGGGAAAGAAGCAGAACACCCCCUCCUGUUUGCACCUACUUGAACUGCUGCAGAGUCGCCAGGAGGUGAAGGGAAGAACAGUGGAAGACACAAGAGAGAGGAGAGAGAGGGGAGGAAGAGGUGAAAUGGGACAUGAGACAGCAAAAGCACCAAGAAGCCCAUGGAAAGUGCAAUUCUCUCACCCAUCUCCAGGCCUGUUACCAUGUAGAAGAGAGGAGUUUGGUGUCAUUCCAGGGCUAUAUUCAUGGAAGAAAGAAAUACUGAGCAGGGGAAAGGGCAAAACAUGGGAGGAAGAGAUGUGACUUUUUCCAUAGUAGUGUAAAAGGGGACUAAAAGUAAGAGUAUAUGAAAUGCAAUGUGGAAAUAAACCAGUAUGUGCACCUGGUGGAUAGAGCACUAGAGUGGUACUCAGGAGAUCUAGGGUCUAUGCCUGACACUGGCCUGCUGGGUGACCUUGGGCAAAUCUCUUCACCAUCCUGGGCCUCGGUUUCCCCAUCUGUAAAAUGGGGCUAAUAAUACUGCCCUCCUUUGUAUCGCACUUGGAGCUCUGCUGAUGAAAAUAGCUAAGAAGUAUUCUUAGGGGAGUGGGAUGGGUUUCCUGUGGUUGGGCUCUAGUUAAGGAUUUAGGAAACCCUGGUACAAGUCCCAGCUCUGCUAUAGGCUUUCAGCAAGUUCCUCAGUUCCGCAUUGGAAAAAUGGGGGGGUCUUAGCACAUCCCUCACUCCAGGAGUGCUGUGAGGGUAAAUUCAGGUCGUACUUUAGCUGUGUCCCGAAAUGUCGGAAUGUAUCAUUGUCAUUUAUAGGCAUUAAGACGGCACCAAGAGCGGGGUCCCAUUGUACCAGCCACAUCAUAGUUCCUCCCUGAAGAGAUUACAUUCUAUCUCUUAUUCUAUACAGAGCCUAGCACAAUGGGGCCCUGAUCUCAGCUGCGGUCCUUAGGCACUGCCAUAAUACAAAUAAUGAAAUGAGGUUAUGUCCAAGCCAGACAACAAGAGGCAGAAAGGAAACAUUAUCCCCAUUUCACAGAGGGAAGACUGAGGCACUGACUUGCCAAAGGUCACAGAGGUGGGACUUGAGCCCAUGUUUCCUGAGGCGUCAGGCAGUGCCUAAACCACAAGAUUGUCGUCCUACGUUUUCUUAGCAUGUUUCCUUGUAAGUGACUAAUGGAGUUGGAAUGAUGGGACUAUUGUUUAGGGGGGUUUGGAAAGCUUUAAACCUGUUCUUCUUAAAGCACACUCAUAUACUUGUGUAUAAGGGUACCACUGACUGGACCGUCAAUGUGGAAAAUAAUUUGAAACCACAGUCAAUCAAGACUGCCCUCUGGAGGCUGAUAAUAUCAUCCUUAGAUCUGUAAUUCAGUAUAAACAUAUUUCUUAAAAACUAACUGAAACAAAAAUUUCAAGGCCCUAAACUGACACACACAAAUGGAGUAACUCAUUAUAGUGAGGAGAAAUCUGAAUGAUUCUCUGCAAUUUUAUGCAAAGGGUUAUGUAUUUGUAGACUAAA